rnacentral:rRNA from 1 species
GACGAACGCUGGCGGCGUGCCUAAUACAUGCAAGUUGAGCGCUGAAGGUUGGUACUUGUACCAACUGGAUGAGCAGCGAACGGGUGAGUAACGCGUGGGGAAUCUGCCUUUGAGCGGGGGACAACAUUUGGAAACGAAUGCUAAUACCGCAUAAAAACUUUAAACACAAGUUUUAAGUUUGAAAGAUGCAAUUGCAUCACUCAAAGAUGAUCCCGCGUUGUAUUAGCUAGUUGGUGAGGUAAAGGCUCACCAAGGCGAUGAUACAUAGCCGACCUGAGAGGGUGAUCGGCCACAUUGGGACUGAGACACGGCCCAAACUCCUACGGGAGGCAGCAGUAGGGAAUCUUCGGCAAUGGACGGAAGUCUGACCGAGCAACGCCGCGGGAGUGAAGAAGGUUGUCGGAUCGUAAAACUCUGUUGGUAGAGAAGAACGUUGGUGAGAGUGGAAAGCUCAUCAAGUGACGGUAACUACCCAGAAAGGGACGGCUAACUACGUG